UACGUAGGUGGCGAGCGUUGUCCGGAUUUACUGGGCGUAAAGAGCGCGCAGGCGGUCGGCCAAGUCGAGUGUGAAAGCCCCCGGCUCAACUGGGGAGGGGCACUUGAUACUGGUCGACUCGAAGGCGGGAGAGGGAAGUGGAAUUCCCGGUGUAGUGGUGAAAUGCGUAGAUAUCGGGAGGAACACCAGUGGCGAAGGCGACUUCCUGGCCCGUUCUUGACGCUGAGGCGCGAAAGCUAGGGGAGCAAACAGG
rnacentral:rRNA from 1 species